UACGGGGGGGGCAAGCGUUGUUCGGAAUUACUGGGCGUAAAGGGCUCGUAGGCGGCCAACUAAGUCGGACGUGAAAUCCCUCGGCUUAACCGGGGAACGGCGUCCGAUACUGGAUGGCUUGAGUUUGGGAGAGGGAUGCGGAAUUCCAGGUGUAGCGGUGAAAUGCGUAGAUAUCUGGAGGAACACCGGUGGCGAAGGCGGCAUCCUGGACCAAAACUGACGCUGAGGCGCGAAAGCGUGGGGAGCAAACAGG
rnacentral:rRNA from 1 species